UGUGUGUCUGUGAAUGUGUGUGUGUGUGAGUGUGUGUCAGUGAGUGUAUGUGUGUCUGAAUGUGUCUGUGAGUAAGUGGGUGUACGCAUAUAUAUAUAUGUGUAUAUAUAUAUAUAUAUACACACACACACACACACACACACACACACACA